ensembl:lncRNA
GGUCACCACUGUCCAGGUGCCAGACCGUGUCGUCGCCCAAAUGGGGCAGAGCAGGUCAGGUCAGUGACCUCAGCGGAAAGGGGGACCCUGGUCACAGUUGCGCUGGCAGGCAAUGCAACCUUCCCACCGAGUAGGGUCCAGCUGCAGCCCCGGAGAACAACACCCUGGCGUGACAACAACCCUGGCGCGACGGAAGUACUCUGGCGUGACGGAAGUGAUUUUUUUUUUUUUUAAAUGUACACACCGCUAAAUCGGAAACCAAAGAUGAACCAUGGAAGUUGCAGCCAAUGGACAUUAGUGUCUUCGGCCCCCUAAAGGGGUACAUAAACAGUGCGGCGGACAGGUGGAUGAGGAGCCACCCAGGGAUAAACAUCUCAAUUUAUGAUGUGCCCUCCAUCGUUGCUGAAGCCUUACCAAAGGCUGCAACAGUGAACAACAUCACCUCCGGGUUCUCAAGUCCAGGGAUCUGGCCUUUUAACCCCUCUGCGUUUGAAGAAAAGGACUUCGCCAGAGCCUAUUCCACAGACCGUCCUCCUCCCCAGGCUUCGGGUGACGAGGCAUGGAUGUACCUGAACGAGCUGCCGGGCCUGACGAAGCUGCCGGGCCUGACGAAGCUGUCCGGCCUGAGGGAGACGCCCUUGAAUUCAGCCCGGACAUCGUCCGGCCUUACCCUAAGGCCGGGCCUAGAAAGAUAACAAAGAGAAGAGGGAGAAAGAGUUUUCAGGACAACUGCUAGACACCCCCGGUGAGGGCUGCUUUAGAGGCGGAAAAGCAGGAAACUCUGAAGCAGCGUCGUCCCGCCAAGCAGCCUCCAUCCUCUCGGGCUCCCAAGAAGAGGCUCUUCUCGCCCGCUCCUGAAGCCGCCCCCCUUGCUGGAGUCACCCCUGGUGCCACCUCAGCUGCUCCUCCCACCAUCACCUGGCCCGCUGAUGGAGUCAGCCCCACCUUAGGCCUAGUUUGUCCUGUUCCGGAUGCAGUAGAGUUCACCACUAUUGCUGCCUCUACUUUUCCCAACUUAUUUAGGCCUAUCCAGCGAGGACGUCAGCUGCCUCGUGUGCUGCGAGCCUCGAUGCUGUGGAAGAGUGGGUCCAGUGUGUUUCAGUGGUCGCAUGAGGCUUGCACCAACGGGAGUACACACUACCUGUGUCACCUGUGUGACAAAGAAUACAAAUAUUUUGCCUACUAUACUGUCCAUGUGUCUUCACUAGUUUGCAGUGGAAAUACUGUAAAUGUAGGCCUACAGCACAAUUCACUUAACAUUAUAGACUGAUUAACUAACUAACUAUUAGGCCUGGGUUAGGCUAUGAGUGGGAGCUGGGCUAUUAAAUAUUUUGCAGGGUAGGCCUACUUUUUGUCCAUCCUGCGUUCACACCAAAAGAUGCAAAAAGUUGACGCUCGGCACGAUCCCAAUCAAAGUGAAUGUAGAGACGCGUUGCUGCUUUGCUGCCGCAGCAUUUGCUGCCGAGAAAACCGGCCGCAAAAUUUGAUUUGCG